rnacentral:tRNA from 1 species
AUCUGGUCCGGGUUCCGGUCUUCCAAUCCGGCAAGGCCCACCA